rnacentral:rRNA from 1 species
UACGUAGGGUGCGAGCGUUAAUCGGAAUUACUGGGCGUAAAGCGUGCGCAGGCGGUGGGUUAAGUCUGCUGUGAAAGCCCCGGGCUCAACCUGGGAAUGGCAGGGGAAACUGGCUCGCUGGAGUAUGGCAGAGGGGGGUGGAAUUCCGCGUGUAGCAGUGAAAUGCGUAGAGAUGCGGAGGAACACAGAUGGCGAAGGCAGCCCCCUGGGCCAAUACUGACGCUCAGGCACGAAAGCGUGGGGAGAAAACAGG